CCUCACAGAUGGUUAAUAUUCCAUCGCCAGGCCGGUUUAAGGCCGAUAGGAACGCAGAGAGAAAAGUGACUAGACAAUCGAAUGUCGAGCCGAGGGGCGACCCAAAGCGCAUCACCAGACAAUCUGUCGAGAAAAGCUAUCGGUUGUUCCCCGGACUGCCCGUACCGCAAACCGACACAGGUGGGUGAGUCGAGUAGACUCAGGCGCGCGAGAGAGACCUUUCUAAGGAACUCGCAAAAUAGCCCCGUAACUUCGGGAGAAGGGGUGCCCCACGCAAGUGGGGUCUCAGUAAAUUGGGUUUAGCGACUGUUUAACAAAAACACAGCACUCUGCCAAGUCGUGAAGACGACGUAUAGGGUGUGACACGUGACCAAUGCGGAAAGAUCAAGGUAAGUUGUUAGCCCGCAAGGGCGAAGCUCCGAGCCUAAGUCCCCGUGAAUGUCGGCCGUAACUAUAACGGUCCUAAGGUAGCGAAAUUCCUUGUCGGGUAAGUUCCGACCUGCACGAAUCGUGUAACGACUGAACCGCUGUCUCGGAGAGGAUCUCGGCGAAAUUGUAACUGCGGUGAAGAUGCCGCAUGCCCGCAGUAGGACGGAAAGACCCUAUGCACCUUUACUGUAAGCUGAUAUUGUGUUCUGGUUCAUGAUGCGUAGCGUAGGUGGGAGGCGUUGAAGCCUGGUUUUAGGGCCAGGCGGAGCCAAAAUGUGAAACACCACUCUUUGUGAAUUAGGAUUCUAACCUCCAUUCCUGUCAACCAGGGGAGGGACAGUGUCUGCGGGUCAGUUUGGCUGGGGCGGCUUCCUCCCAAAAGGUAACGGAGGAGCGCGAAGGUACUCUCAGCAUGGUUUGCAACCAUGCGUACGAGCGUAUGGGUAGAAGAGUGCUUAACUGUAAGACCUACAAGUCGAGCAGAUGCGAAAGCAGGCCCAAAUGAUCCGACGGUGGAAUGUGGAAUUGCCGUCGCUCAACGGACAAAAGGUACGCUAGGGAUAACAGGCUGAUCGAUUCCAAGAGUUCAUAUCGACGAAUCGGUUUGGCACCUCGAUGUCGGCUCAUCGCAUCCUGGGGCUGGAGAAGGUCCCAAGGGUCCGGCUGUUCGCCGGUUAAAGCGGUACGCGAGCUGGGUUCAGAACGUCGUGAGACAGUUCGGUCCUUAUCCACUGUGGGCGCAGGAAACUUGAGGGGUUCAUUCCCUAGUACGAGAGGACCGGGAAUGACGCGCUUCUGGUGUGGCAAUUGUACCGUCAGGUGCAUCGUUGCGUAGCCAUGCGCGGAAGAGAUAAGCGCUGAAAGCAUCUAAGCGCCAAGCUCCUCCCAAGAUAUGGUUUCCCCCGUCGCAAGACGGCUAAAGGCCCCCGGAAGACCACCGGGUUGAUAGGUUGGGCGUGCACAGGGAGCAAUCCCUUUAGCGGACCAAUACUAAUCGGCCGUGCGGCUUGAUCG
rnacentral:rRNA from 1 species